rnacentral:rRNA from 1 species
AAAUUGAAGAGUUUGAUCAUGGCUCAGAUUGAACGCUGGCGGCAGGCCUAACACAUGCAAGUCGAACGGUAGCACAGAGAGCUUGCUCUCGGGUGACGAGUGGCGGACGGGUGAGUAAUGUCUGGGAAACUGCCUGAUGGAGGGGGAUAACUACUGGAAACGGUGGCUAAUACCGCAUAACGUCGCAAGACCAAAGAGGGGGACCUUCGGGCCUCUUGCCAUCAGAUGUGCCCAGAUGGGAUUAGCUGGUUGGUGAGGUAACGGCUCACCAAGGCGACGAUCCCUAGCUGGUCUGAGAGGAUGACCAGCCACACUGGAACUGAGACACGGUCCAGACUCCUACGGGAGGCAGCAGUGGGGAAUAUUGCAC